CGCAAUUUUGAUUACGCUGAAAUGAAACCCCUGGAAUAAAGUGCGUCCCCCUUCGCUAACGGACUUCUGGAACGGCCCUUAGAGAGACGAAGAAGAGUGUAUGAGUGUGUCACACACAGAAGUGAGUGCAGUGUCGUGAUCGAGAAGCUCGUUCGAUAAAGUUGCUUCAACGGAAGAUAAUCGGGGCUUGAGUCGAAUAAAGGACGACAGCACUAAGUGAGAGUGUGGACAGUGACCCACGUUUCAUAGUGAAGAAGAGUUUUUCCAGUUUCGUUCUCGUGGUAUGUGCUGGCUGUUAGAGUGACGCAGUAACAUAUCGUGAAGGCCACGGAAGCUCCCUGUCCAGUUGGUGGCGAGUGCGCUCCAGUGAGGCAGCAGAGCGCGCGAUCGUCUCCAGAACAAAAAUAAAGGUCUUUUGCUGUGUCUUUGAUUACUCACAGGUGAGUAUAGUAAAGCGAAUCGCUUGAUCUGAGGGGUCUACAGCGAUCUAUCACGCCACAUUAAAGAGCGCCAAAACGGUAUUUAUUGCUUGAGUUUCCUAAUAAAAUGGACAGAAUUUGAAACCUGAGACUGCAUUUCAUAUCAAAAGUAACAACGCACAAAGUGUAGCCGAUUGUCUAACGUUACUGUGCAUUCAUCAAAUGAAAACAGCAUCGAUUGGGAGUUAAGAAACGAUAUUGCUUCAUAAAAAUAAGAAUCUAUUAAAACAGAGAAAUCGGUUUUAUUUUAUUUUUUAUUUUUUUAUCCAGCACUAGCAUAUUUUGUUGUUUUAAGUGUCCUCCGCUGUCAAUGACGCAGUCUCUGUUCUCGUCAUAAAUAAAUAAAUGCAUAAGCCAAUAUGCUCGUCCUUUAGGUUCAUUAUUAAAAAUGAAAACGUGAACAAAAAUAAAAGCAAUUAAAUGGUUAUUAUAAUUAAAAUACGAAAAUUAAAAUGACAGGUAAUAAUAGAUUAUGACGGAAUUUUUAACGACCCUGUCCGUCAAAAUGACGGAUAAUAUUAAAGUCUAACGCAACCUCUGCAUCCAAGUGACAUCUUAGUUUGAUUCAUCUUCAGUUUGGUCCUGGUUGAGACAGUUUAUCUGUGGGACAUUUUAUACAAAGUUGAGUGAAUUUUUGAACUUGAACUACGUGAUCUCCAGUUUAUUUCGACGCACCCAACGUCCAGACAACGCAAUAGCGUCUGUCUGCGGACUGCGAGAGGGGCGUAACUUGAAGUUGUCCAAAUCACACAGAACCACGCGAGAUGUCAAAACGAGAUGUUAUUGGCAAGAUGGCCGCUUGUAUAGAGACAAGGUGAGAAUAUUUUCCCCCCCCCGAAAUAACCGUUUAAAUUGAAGUGUUAGUCAUUUUCAUACAGUGGUAUUGUUUAUGGAGUUAAUCAUCUUUUAAAACUAAGGAGUAAGCAAUAUAUAAUAUAGACGGUUUCAACGGCAACAACAUAAACAAACGUUACUGCGCAUGCGCGCUUUUGUGGCCCUAACUUAACUUCCGGUAGACAUCCAAAUACAAUCAGUAACAACAGCUAAGUCCCUCUAGAGUACAUUAUGUUUUGAUAACAAGCAAAAUAUGUUUGCUGCGUAAAUCAGACGGACUGAGAUGCAGCGAUAACUACUUGGACGGACUUAUUAAAAAUGCAAAUUCAUCCUCUGCCAGCAGGAGGCGCUUUAAAGCAGGAGAACUAGUUUCCCCGGAAACGGCUGUUGGGCUGUACGUUACACAAAGCAGCGCUGAGCUUACAAACGCUGCUUUAUCAGGCACAUAACAUGCAAGAUGAAAUGAAAAUGACAUCGAACAUUUUCUAAAGGCAGUGUUCCUUCAGAAAUACAGUGAUAUAAAAACACCUGUGCCUCGUUUUGAUUUUUAAAAGUGCGUUACGUGCUCAUGUUUAUUCAACGAAGCCUUUUGGAAAAUCGGUCAGUUUUGAUAUCGCAGCGGUUGCCACAAAUAAAUAAAUGUAUGGGAAACACAUCCCACAGCACAACAACCUGAGCCCAACUUCAUUAACGUUACUCAUCACUUUAACUUUAACUGUGUUUCUAGCCGGCGCCACUAACAAGACCAAUAAACAAACACAGACAGACCGGAAGUUAACUUCGGUCCAGGCGCGUGCGCCUGAUGAAACCGUCUAUAUAAUUCAAAAGGUGUAAGACGCUAUCCCCCGGUUUCACAGACAAGGCUAGUCAAGAGUAGUCCCAGACUAAAAUGCAUGUCUGGGCUGUUUUAACUGAAAGCAACUUGAACUGACUGAUAAUUGUUUUGUUCAAGAUGCACAUCAGUAGUGUUUUUAUCCAAGGCACGUUUAUAAAAGCUACUCAAAUGUCCUAAUUGAACUAUGACCUAAUCCUGGCUUAAUCUAAACCCUGUCUGUGAUCUACAUAAUAUAGCAUAUUUGUGAUUUUGCUGUAAAAACACGUUUUAUAAUGCAUAACUAACAGGAGAGCUCCAUUAAGUACACAUACGUCUCAAAAGUGGAUUUACAUAAACCAUAUACAUCUUAAAGAUGAUUACUAAAUGUCUAUUUAACAUCUGACAGGAUUAUCUUUGAUAAAUAUUGCAGAUGAGCACAUCUAAUAGACAUGAAACAGGCAUCUGAGUGAGAGAUGUAUGUGUUGUUAUGUAGAAUUCACUGUUGUCAACACUGCUUUAGAUGAAUGUAAGUCAUGCAAACAAACAAAUCUACAUAAAGUAACCUAUUUUAUUUAUCCAUUAGUAAUAUUGAUAAUUUAAGGAACAUUUGUGUUGGAUAAAAAGGGAGUUACAUCAGCAACUACCUCAACAUGUAAAUGCAGUAUUGAGCAGAUAAAUCACAGAGCUGACUGACUCUUGUCUGAUGUUACAGGGACAGAUGAGACACACGUGUGUUUAUCCGGUGCAGAGUGUCUGAUGGAGGAAUGCUGCCAUCAAAGCCUCUCAAUCUUCUGUGGUGGAGCAGGACCUGCAAGGCAAGGGACCUACAAACCCCUGGAUCAACCUGGAGAAAAGAGCCUUGCUGAAGGACACACCGGUGGUGACGAACCAGCAACCUUCUGCUCACCAGUUCAGUGGUUUAGCCAACUACAAAAGUAGUCAUGCUCAUGGAAAGCAGGCACACGAAUGUUUGGAGCAGGCACAGCAGCAGCCAGAUUGUCCUGCACAUGUUCUCCUGCUCUUGCCUCAAGGUUGUGUGGUUCAGGGGGCAUCAUCAUGGUCUUCCUCAUCCUCCGGGUCAACGAUGUCCCCAUUGAGAAGAGCAAGAUUGUGAAGCACAGCGCAGCUGCAGAAUUGACACAUCUGCAUUGAGAUGGCAGUAGGAUGUGGGUUCACCAUCUGUAAAUACAUAGCCACUUUUCCACUAUCGGGUCGAACGGUUCUCUUUGUUUAACCGUUCCGUUCCGUGCCAAUCCGGGCCAGUCAGCACGGAUACGGUUUCGUUUUCCACUGCGGGGCUAAUAACGGAUCUCUUUGGAAUGCAAUUCAAAUGCGUCAGUCGUUGCCGUGGUAACACAAGUGUUUACAUAUGAUAUGAGGUGUAAAUAACCACCGCGUUACGGAGGAUGAUCAGAAAUUUCUUUAGAUUUUAUUACUAAUUUGUGUUUACAUUGCUCAAAAUAGCGCACUUAGCAAGCUACGGAGAAACUAGCAGCCAGGCGACAGACAAGUGACAGAUCCUGAGUGGCGAUGGCACGCACACGCACUCUACCAGCACGGUUGUACCAGGCUCACGUGGAAAAACAACUGGAACCGUACCUGACCGUUCUUAGAACCGUUCGCCCCCAUAGUGGAAAAAAGCGGCUUAUGAUUGUUAGAACAAUACGUUUGAAUGAAGCUUUGUUUCAUCUGUUGUUGACUUGUAUAUUGUAUGUAUUUAUUGUGAUGCUUCCUUUUAUUCAUUCUUUUACUCAUUUAUUCAUGUUUCUUGUUGUCAUUAAAAUAUAUUUUAUUAAUUCAUGUAUUAAUUGCUUGACUGAAAAUUGAUGUAUUCACAUCGACUGCAUUUGUUCAACUAGUGUAUAUUCAUGUAUAGCCAUGUCACGACAAAAAUUACAUUUUGCUUGUUUUACUUGUUUGUCAUUUUAAGUAAAAAAAAAAAAAAGUAAUUAUUGGUUAGCACUUAUUAUUAUUAUUAUUGCGUUUAAGUGUUGGGGUGGGCAAACGAUGCAAUUCAUUCUGGGGUAAUCUUAAUUUUUAAGUAGAAAUACUUAAAUUUUUAGAGUAUAAAAUCAACCGUCUUCUCCAAAGGCGAGAUCUUCGAGCAGCUGCCCGACAUGUCCUUUGUGCUGACAUUUCAAACACUGAGGAAAACCGUACUAGAUAGUUGAGUUAGUGAUGCUAUGAGGUGUUAGUGCACCUGUCCCUCUUUUUUAUUAUUAUUAUUAUUGCCGAACUUAUUACAUAAAAGAUCAGGGAAAGAUGGUUGUAUCUAACAAUGAACAAUCAUAAAUGGCAUAAAACGGUAAACAAAAAUUUAAUGUGUUCAUCAUAGUAUGAGAUAAUAUACACAGAAAAAAAGCACAGUGACAAGGUUAAAUAUCUUUGAAUAAUUCAUCAUGAUGCUUUUUUUUAGAAGCCUGAGCGAUGAAAAAAGAAAGUUAAAUUCAACAAGAAAACAGGAGAUUUAAGCCACUUUUGCUUGUGGAUGAUAAAAUAGUUAACAAAAUAUUCAAGAGAUAACAAUUUUGGGUUUUUGUAAUAAAAAAUAAAAUAAAAAAUACUUUAAGGAUAAAACUGUGGAUCACAUUAGUGGAGUUACAGAUAUAAGAACUUAAAUCAACACAAAAUGUAUUGACUACUACAAUCACAAAAUAAAAGGGCAGCUGUUUCUUUAACAAGACCACAAAAUGAGCAAAUUUCAUCAGUAUCAAGAUACUUACAGAUAGAUUAAUUAAACCUGUCACUCAUAUCUUUUGUUGCGCUUGUUAUAACGUCUUAGGUCACAUGAUAACGUCAACAUAGCAGAUGAUAUCCGAAUCGCAUUCAUACUUAAUGCCGAGUUCACACUGCACGAUUUUAGCCCGAUUUUUCACUCGCCGACAGGUUUUGAUAAAUCGCCGACAAAUGCCCGAAAUCGGAGGCAAAUCGGAGCUCAUUCACGCGAGUGACAAUCGCGCAGUGUGAAUUAUCAAAGACACGAUCUGAGAGAAUCGCCGACACGUCGCCGACCCCUGUGAAAUAUUUGACAUGCUAAAUAUCUGGAGCUGUCGGCGAUUCACAAUCACGCUGUGUGCAAUGAGUUCUGACUGAAAACUACAUCGGCGAUGACCUUCAGCCAACGAGAGACAAAGAUACAGGGCAGAGGGAAGUUCGGUGAGGAGUUAUAGACCAUAUCAUUAUUUUAAUAUGUACAAUUAUAUCAUACAGAAACAAGCACAAACGCUUGACCAGCCGCAACAUCAGCAUAACAGUUACUGCAAAAUUAUUAUUUACCACUCUUUGCAGAACACAAUCCCUGUUCCCUGCAUCUCCCUCCUGCAUAAUCUGUUUUUAUUUUUGUAGCUGGAAAUCAGCAGACACAGACAAUUUGCGUGCUAUAUUUUUUUAAUACUUCCAGUCUCGCUCGAGAACAACGGUCUGACGCACGCGGGUUCUUUAUCACUUCUCGCGUGUGUUUUGUUGUGAAACGUAGUUUGCGGAUCAGACAGAGUUGUCGGCGAUUCUUCCUAUUGUGAAAUCGUGCAAUGUGAAAGCCCCUGUCGCCGAUCCAUCGUGCAAUGUGAACACAGCAGCGACUGAAUGCUACCCCAGAUAGUCACGCAGUGUGAAAACAACAGCGAUCCGACGAGUUUGAAAAUCGUGCAGUGUGAACUCGGCAUAACGCAUUCAGGCUGUAGAGCAGGGGUGCCCACACUUUUUUGUGUGGGGAUCUACUUUUCAAAUGAGAAACUCACCGAGAUCUACCAGGUGAAAAAUAAAUAAAUAAUAAAAUACAUACAAUAAAUAGGUCUAUAAAAAAGCUUGUUGGGAUGUAUCUUUAUAUUGCAUUAAUUAUUUUUUAAUUAAAAACAAAUAUUAAUAAUAAAAUAAUGUUCAAUUCUUAGUACCCCCAUAGAACUGUGCCUGCAUUUACCUAAAGCAGUGGUUCUCAAACUUUUUUACUCCAAGACCACCUCCUCUCCAAAUCAAUACGUAAAGCCCAAACUUUUCUAUUCACUAAAACCUAUGUACUUUCAUGUAAGUUUUUUUAAACAAAGCAAAUUCAAGAUAGAUUUAAACAUUCCAUGUUCUUUUUGCAAACAUACUUCGCAAACAUGUCACUGAUAUUCUACACAACUUAAAAGUAAGUAAAAGUACGUAUAUCUGAACUCAGACGCCACAGUGAAUAGUUCCUCUGUCGGAACAAGCUGUUCGGAGCGUUUGAUGCCCGUAUGUACAUGAACACCACUGAUCCUCACAAACUUCUCCAAAACACGCGAGCAUCUGUUAUAAAACACUCGCUGUAUUCAACUACGUGAAUAUACUGAGCUGUAUUCAAGCAGAAAUAUGAUGUUAUAGCCGACAGCGCACAUACACGGUUCGUUUGCGCAUCAAAUAACUGACACAACGCGCACCUAAUGCACGGUCCUGUAUGUCACUGUAAUCAUCUUUACCUUGAUUACAAUCGUCAUCCAUUAAAACUUAAGGCUACUAGUGUGACACUGGCUUCUUUUAUCCAGCCGAGAGCUGUAGUUUGCGUAUCAUAUGCUCAUACAGCGGUUAUGAGCCGCCGUUCAGUCUGUAUUUCACACAGCGCGAUGAGGGAAGGUUUGCUGGUCUGAAACACAGAAUACGUUGAGAGGUGGUGCUGUUAUUUAUUUAUAUAUAUUUUUACGUUAUCAUAGUCAUAACAUUAGUGAAUAUAUUAUAUAUUAGUUUUAAGUUGUCUCGCGAGAACCACUGACCUAAAGCGCGAUCUACCAGCAUUGCCUUC